AAGAAACCUGGUUGAAUCCCCACCACCUUGGCUGAAGGAAGGCUGCUCAGGAGGAAGCACCUCCGGGUUCUAAGAUGGGCUUGCUUCUUCGACAGCGACUUCCCGUCAGUAGCUCUCCUCUGCAGCCUCUCUUCAGGGUGUCUCAGAGGGACAUGGAGGGAAUAAGAGGUCUCUGCCCUUCUUCAUCCCACCCACCCAUCCGCUUCGCUUCCCUUAAUUCUUGGGUUAAGAAUUAGGGCGUUUCGAGCACUUCAGCGGAGAAGACAAUGGCACCCCACUCCAGUACUCUUGCCUGGAAAACCUCAUGGACGGAGGAGCCUGGUGGGCUGCAGUCCAUGGGGUCGCGAGGAGUCGGACACAACUGAGCGACUUCACUUUCACUUUUCACUUUCAUGCAUUGGAGAAGGCAAUGGCAACCCACUCCAGUACUUUUGCCUGGAGAAUCCCAGGGACGGCAGAGCCUGGUAGGCUGCUGUCUAUGGGGUCGCACAGAGUCGAACACUGACGCGACUUAGCAGCAGCAGCAGCAGCAGAGCACUUGAGACACGCACAGUUCUUAGCUGCGAUUCCUAGGAUUCUAGAAUUAACUCGUGCUUUUCCUUGCGAACACCGUCAUCAUUGCUUCACAUAUAGUGGGAAGACUAUGGUGGGUGGCCCCACCCACACCCACACCCACACCACAUCCCGCAGUGAUACAACCAGGCCCGUGGUCCACGCCCUUCAGACUCUCGCGGUCUCCGCCCUGGCUCGUCGCGCUAGGCCCCUGCAGCUGGGGCUCUCCACUGCCUCCAUGGGCGUGCCUUCUUCAGAAGUCUUGGGUUGUAGUCCAGUCUCAACCUCUAACCGGAGCCUCUCGCCUCUAAUGCGCAGAGAGGGGAAUGACGCCAGGCACCUUCACCCACAUCCUGGAGUGGCAGAUGGGGGUUACCAGUCACUUUGAUGCCAAAAUCAUAUUGGAUAACAGAGUCACAGGAAUUUUCUAUACCCUGAAUAUGAAGCUACAUCUAUUUUGAAGGAGGAACUUCAUGGAUGAGAAUUUCAGCUGGUGUAUCUGGGAGACAGAUUCUCUGGAGUCUGGGGAGGCAGAAUGAGUAAGCCAGGAGGGAAGAAGCAAAGGAUAAAAA
ensembl:lncRNA